UGUCUCUCUCCAGAUGGACCA
rnacentral:misc_RNA from 1 species